CUAGGAGAAUAAGGAGUGGAAAGUUGCUGUGAGGUUUACCUAAGAGGGCUUCCUAGAGGAGACUGGAAACUUCCUGUGUAGAAUGUGCACUGGAGACAGGGAUGGGAGAUAAGUCUGGAAAACUGGAAAGAAAAAUGUAGCUGCUGAGAAGCAAAGCUUAGAGCAGAUUAUAAAUACUGGAAGCCUCACUCUUACCAUUGUCACAAUGCACUCCUCGCCAGCCAACAUCACAGUCACAGGAGCCAUCUCCCAAGGGUCCUUGGUUGCAUCUCCCAUGGACACAAGAACAUGCUAAGUGGAAAAACACCUGCAAAUCGUCAGAUUCUAACCCAUGUUCAAUAACUCAUUUGUCAUUUACUAGGUUUGCUUUAUUGCACUUAAUUCUCCAACCUACUUCUAGGAAUCAUAGUCUUUAACAGGGGUCUUGAAUCACAAAAAGGGCAGGGGUGCAGGAGACAGAAUCUAGCAAGUUCACAGGUGAACAAGCUCUAGCUUCAAUGAAGUGGCUCAGACUGCAGUUUUGAGACAGUGUAGCACUGAAGAUCUGUGACCCAAGCAGUGUGAGAGUGUCCUCAGUCAAGGUUACCUGAGGAUCCAGGGUUAUGCAGGACUCCUUUGAUUGGAACCACUUUUGCCCCUUAAUAAUGGACUUCAGGAAGAAGCCCAUUUGACACUGGGUUUGUAUAAGCCUGGUGUGGCACUGCUUCCUCAAUUACACAGAUGAGUCUCUGAGAACUUGAUGAAAGCUACAGAUGCCUUCCCCAGAAAAAUGUAUUCAGCUUUAGCGGUUUGCUGAAUCCCAUGAGGGUCAUCUACAAAUCCCAUUUUAGGAACUCAUGCACAAAUGCAAGCAGAUAAUUACUCCAAAUAACACGGGAAAAAAUCAACACUGUAAUUCCAAGUGAAUAUUAUAUGGCCCAAUUAUAAUGAUUCAAUUGUACAUUAAUUUUGUCUAGCUUAGACCAGCUGAGGAGAAAACAGUGAUAGCCAAGUGAACUGUAUGGUUUUUAGUACUAGGUAGAAUAAUGCUUUGUUAGGAAACCCAAACUCUGGAGUCAACACUCUCACAGCUGUGUGUUCCUGGACACAAGGAAAUCUGGAUGUGAGAAUACAGAUGACUUGGCUCAAACAGAUCAUUGUUUUUGCAAAAACUACUUAAAGCAUGUGUCUUGCUGCUGGUGAAACAA
rnacentral:lncRNA from 1 species